GACGAGGGGUCCAAGCGUUGUUCGGAAUCACUGGGCGUAAAGGGCGCGUAGGCGGCCAUUCAAGUCGGGGGGUGAAAGCCUGUGGCUCAACCACAGAAUUGCCUUCGAUACUGUUUGGCUUGAGUUUGGUAGAGGUUGGUGGAACUGCGAGUGUAGAGGCGAAAUUCGUAGAUAUUCGCAAGAACACCAGUGGCGAAGGCGGACCAACUGGACCAACACUGACGCUGAGGCGCGAAAGCGUGGGGGAGCAAACAGG
rnacentral:rRNA from 1 species